rnacentral:misc_RNA from 1 species
AGACUUGCACACGACGCGAGUUUUGUUCUUCUCUUUUUGCCAGCUGCUCUUUUGCACUUCCGCUGGUGUCUCGAGAUCAUCGCCUCGCCCUGCUCAUCCAUCCCUUCCCGUUCUUUCUCUCUUCCGCCCACCGAGCUCGAUCUUGCGCCCCGCUACCCUGCAUCAAACUUAAGGCCCUUUUUGAUCUCGCUGGCGUAUUGGGUAUUCGCGCCGCCUCGUGUCUGUGCUUCGAGGGGGUCUGCAUUAGCGACGACGACUGCAGCUGACGAAGGAGUCCAGCAAAGGGAGCAGCGGCGCAGAGAAACGCAAGCGAGAGUGAUGACGUCCAAGCACACCCCUCAGCCGUACACAAUGACAGCGAACACGCCGGCAUGGAACCCGGAGACGCGGCUUCCGUCCCUUAGCAAGUCCGCAAUGAUCCGCGACGUUUGGGCUGACAAUCUCGAGGAGGAGUUCGCCACGAUCCGGUCUCUCAUCAAGGACUACCCGUUCGUGUCGCUAGACACGGAAUUCCCUGGAGUGGUGGCCAAGCCGGUGGGCAGCUUCAAGACGACGCACGAGUUCUACUACCAAACGCUGCGGUGCAACGUGAACCUCCUCAAGAUCAUUCAGCUCGGCAUCACCCUUCUGAACGACAAGGGCGAGGUCCCGGAGCACUGCUCCACCUGGCAGUUCAACUUCCGCUUCAGCAUCAAGGAAGACGUUUACGCGCAAGACAGCAUUGAGCUUCUCCGGCAUGGCGGCAUCAACUUCGACUACUUCAACGACUUCGGGAUCGAGGUGACGCACUUUGCGGAACUGCUCAUCUCCAGCGGGCUGGUGCUCAACUCCAACGUGCGCUGGCUUGCCUUCCACGCUGGCUACGACUUCGGGUACCUCAUCAAGGUGGUGUGCAACAAGGAUCUUCCGGAGAAGGAGGAGGAGUUCCUGCAAACCCUUCAUGCUCUCUUCCCGAGCAUGUUUGACCUCAAGUAUCUUUUGCGCUUCACGGAUGUGUCCCACUCCUUUGGACUGGACUACUUAGCGGAGAGCCUGAAGCUGCGCCGCUUCGGCACGGCGCAUCAGGCCGGCAGCGAUUCGCUCCUCACGGGCCACUGCUACUUCAAGUUGCUGCGUGAUAGCUUUGGCAACACCGCACCGGUGGCCAACAACGGCGUUCUCUACGGUCUUAGCGAGGAUGCAGCUUCGUCCGUCACUCCUAGCAGCGCGCAGGCGGUGACGCAGGUGAAUAGCAACUCGCACAACUUCUCAAGCCCCAUUGCGUACGGCAAUGGCGGCGCAAGCAGCGGUACCUUCCCUGCGGCCCCCCUCAACUCUAACAUGCGCAGGUCGUGAGCAGUUGUGAGGGGGCUCCGCAGCGUUUUUCUUUUCUCUAAUCAUGUAAAGGCUCCAUCGUGUGCAUCGGGCAUCCUUAUACCUUUGCACUUGUGUACGCGUAGGCGCAUGUGUGGUGCGAGAGGGGGAUGGUGUGUGCGUGUGGCUGAGUGGGGGCUACGCUCGUGGCGUACAAGCCUGCAAGGUAUGUGUGCGUGUGUAUGUGUGCCGCUCUGCGCGCGCCUUCUCCUCUUUCUCCUUUCUGCUGCUUUGCUCCUUUUUCCUUUGGCCACUCGUGCAGAACUCGGCGGCGGCGCUCUGGCUUCACCUGUGGCCCUUCUCUCCCUCUGCACCGGGCCGGGAGGGACCGGGGAGAGGGAGAGGAGGGGGAAGAGCGCGCGUGCGCGUGCGAGGCGACGCGUUCGUGUUCGUUUUCUUUUUUUAUUUUCUGUACUUUCUCAGGAGGAUGGCCGUUGUAUGAAGUGCGCUCGCUUCGCCGCUUUUUUCUUUUGCUUUUCCGUCUUGCUGUUUGUCUGUCUGUCUCUCUCUGUAUGUGUGUCGCAGGGCAGUGGGGAGAGGGGCGGGCGUGCACGACUGUCGCUCCUGGUGCGCUCUGUUUGUUGUCUGUUUGAAUCUCUUGCAUGAAGUCCACCUUCUUCCGUUUUGUGGUCUUCAUCACCUCGUGCAUCUGCCUCUGCCUGAGGGGUGGGCCUGUGUGUGUGUGUGUGUGCGUGUGGGCGUUUUCUCCUUGUCACGGUACCCUUUUUCAUGUGCGUGCGUUUUUUUUCCCUUUUGUCAGUGCUCUAAAACAGAGAAG